AACGUAGCAUAGGUGGGGAGGCCUCCGGCCGAACCUGAAAUACCGACCGUCUCCGUCGUUGUUCUUCUCAGUUUGGUGGUGUAGGGGAUGGGGCGAAGCCCCUUUUUCUGGAGACGGCCGCGACGCGCGCCCGUCCGGGCUCCGUCGCUCGCGCGAGCGAGCGGCGGGGUCCGGCAGGCCUCCGCCCGCGGCGCCUAAUCCGAAGACGUCGUUCGGUGGGGAGUUUGGCUGGGGCGGCACAUCCGUUAAAAGGCAACGCGGGUGUCCAAAGGGGAGCUCGGCGAGAAGGGAAAUCUCGCGUCGAACGAAAGGGUAAAAGCUCCCUUGAUUCCGAUCUUCAGUACUGAUACGAACCUCGAAAGAGUGGCCUAGCGAUCCUUUGGUCGUUCGCGACCUGAAGCCAGAGGUGUCAGAAAAGUUACCAAAGGGAUAACUGGCUUGUGGCGGCCAAGCGUUCUUAGCGAC
rnacentral:rRNA from 1 species